rnacentral:rRNA from 1 species
UAACGGAUCUUCCGCAAUGCGCGAAAGCGUGACGGAGCAAUGCCGCGUGCGGGAUGAAGCCCCUUGGGGUGUAAACCGCUGUCAGAGCUUAGGAAACCUGACCAAGCUCAGAGGAAGGACCGGCUAACUUCGUGCCAGCAGCCGCGGUAAGACGAAGGGUCCAAGCGUUGCGCGGAAUCAUUGGGCUUAAAGCGUGCGCAGGCGGGGACGUCAGUGCCUUGUGAAAUGCCACCGCUCAACGGUGGAAUUGCAGGGCAUACUGCGUCCCUUGAGGUCGGUAGAGGCGCCCGGAACUGUAGGUGUAGCGGUGAAAUGCGUAGAUAUCUACAGGAACGCCAAAGGUGAAGACAGGGCGCUGGGCCGAUUCUGACGCUCAGGCACGAAAGCGUGGGGAGCAAACA